UAUUCCUAAAGUUAUACCUGUGAAGUUUGCAUUCAUUAAAUAAAAGCUUUUAAAAAUCUUACCUGUUUUUAAGUAUGAAGGAAAGGCAAUUGGUAUGAGAAGACUGGGAAAUAUUUUAUUUUUUGAACUGACAGCUAUGCAAAGAUAAUUCAUAAACUUCAAAAUAUCCAAAUUAAUAUAUUUCUUAUGCAGCAUAACUUCAAUUUUAAAUAUUUAUCAGACUUAAAACUCUUAUGUGGAAUGAUAAAUCAUGACAGUUUUAGUAAGUGGAAUUUAUAUUUAGAUUGAAGUAAUAAAUUAGGAUGAAAUUAAAGUAGGUACACAGAAAAGCAAGUGAAAUUCAAUUAAAAGCAAUGUAAAAAAAUCAUAUAUAUAGGUGAAAACAUACAGAUUUCUCUAAUGUUUCAAGGGACCAGUUUUAUUCAUGAUAAAAUGUAGGAUGAUUUUAUAUUUGCCGGUGUGUAGAAAUUUACAUGAAAAUUUGGAAGCUGGAGUGUAAGUCUAAAUUGAAGUGUAUAUGAAUGUGAGAGAUAUUUCAGAGUACCUGUGUUUCAGUCCUAGCUCUGGCACCUGAUUUCAGCUCUCUGCCAGUGCAGACCCUGGGAGGCAGGAAGAGAUAGCUUAAGUAGUCAGAUCAUUGCCAUCCUCAUGGGAAUCCUGGAUUAAGUUCCUGGCUGUUGUUAUUGGCCUGAACCAACACCAGCCAUCAUGGGCAUUUGGGAACAAAAGGUGACUGGAACUCUCUCUUUUUGCCUCUCAAAUUAAAACCAAGCAAAGCAAAAACCUUAAAAAAUCAUGGACAAUGAAAUUAAAAUUUAUUUUGAUACAAAAACCUUGAAAUCCAUGCAAGGACUUUUUUUUAUAAGAUACAUUUUACACAGGCUUUUUGAAGACUUCUCACAAAUUUUUUUUAAACUCAGGAGUUUCAAAAUUUGCACCAAAAUGUGUUUAAAAUUAUUAUUAUUAUUUUAAUUACAGAGACAGUGAUAUAGAGAAAGGGAGAACUCCCAUUUGCUGGUUCACUCCCCAGAUCUUAGCAAAGCCAGAGUACUGAAGCCAGGUGCAAGGAACGCUACUCAGGUUUCCCAUGUAGGAGACAGGGCCACAGCUACUAGUGCCAUGAAUGCCGUCAUCUCAAGACGCAUUAUUACAGGUAGAUGGAACUGGGAGUGAAGUCAGAAACCAGCAAUCCAAUACGUACAUGUCCCAACCAAUGACUUAACUGCUAGGUCAGCAUCUACCCCUGAACUUUUAAUUUUUUUUGAUGUGAACUUUUUGAUGUACCUUCAUGUAUAUAUACAUAUUUAUAAUGGCUACAGAUUUUACAUUAGUAAUUCAAAUUUAAUAAAACAUUUCUUUCUGAUAGUACAUCAUGCAUACUGAAAUCAGAAUCUUGUCACAGAAUUGUAUUUGGUACAAAGUGUGCUAUUUUCAUAGCAUAAUACAAUAAAAUACCUAUUUAAUUUCAGGGAUUUAUGCAUCUGAUUUGAUAGUAUGUUCUAAAUUAAAUCAAUAACACAAUUUUCUUCCUUGUUUCCAAUAUAAAAAGAGGCCAAAACAUUUGCAUAUGAAAUAUAUUAACUGUCAUGAAAUACUUAUCUUCACAGUUCCAGUAGACUACAUUUAUUCAAUCAUGCAGUCAGAAUUUGAAAGGAAAUUUAGUGACAAUUUUAUUUAAGAACAUUGUCAUCCUCAUUCUGGAAAAACAACUGGGAGAGUAUUUCUGCCAAGGAGAUUUAGGAAGCUCAAAACUGCCAGUUAUGUCAAUUAAUUCUAAAAACUCUAGGACGUCACUCAAGGAUACUGUGUUGCAAUGAUUUUCUUCUACUGUGACCAUCCUUGCAAUUGCGCAUUUAAAAAGGGCAGAUGGAUUGGAGACUUGAAUUACAUCUGCGAAACCUCUUCACCUUUGCCAUAUACUGUAAUGUAUUUCGGGAAUGGAUUGCAGCAUCUUCCUACAUUUUAUUGAUGGUGAAAGGGAAGGGAUGAUAAAGAGUAUUAAAAGUAGUAGAUGAGAA